UCCCUGGUGGCUCAGUGGUAAAGAAUCCACCUGCCAUUGCAUGGAAGACAUGGGUUCAAUUCCUGACCUGGGAA
rnacentral:tRNA from 1 species